rnacentral:lncRNA from 1 species
CUUUUCCACAUUUCUCAUCCUUCUUUCUAAACUUUCUCUCUUUAAAGAAGGUUUUCCGGUAGCCAAAAUCUUAGUUUCCAUCCAGUCGUCGGUGAAGAGUUGAAGGCAUUUAAGUUUAUUUGAUUUAUUUUGGAUUUUUUUUAAUUUUUAGCUUUAGUUUAUUUUCAAACUUGUUCGGGUUUUUGACUCUUAGAGGGAUCGAGUUUUGGCUAUCUAGGGUUUUAGGGUUUCGGUCUUCAAGGGUGCUACUAUUGGUAUGAGUGAUUUUUGGUUAUCCAGGGUUUUGUGGUUGUGCUCUUCGAAGGGUGCAGUUUUCGAGUUUUUAGUGUGCUGAGGGUUUAGUCAUUUGCAAAUUCAGGUUUUUGGCUCUAAGGAGGAGCAAGUUUCAGUGCCGGGUAUUGGCUGCUUCAAGUUUCCGGUGUUUUCAGUGUGUUAAGGUUUCAAAUUUUCAAUGGUAGGAAGGUCCAGAUGUUGGCUGCUUUGGGCAUCUGGUGUUUUUUACGUGUUAAGGAUUCAAGUUUUUAGUGGUAUCACCUUUUGGGCUUUUGAUCAUUAAAACUUUCUAUGUUUUUGGUCUUUAGCGCUUCUAAGAGGAUUUUUGGUGCUUCACAUUUAUCAAGCUUUCGGCACUACUUUCUUGGUUAUUAGUCCUUUAGUCUACUUUACGGCUUCCAAUUUUUGUUUCUAAGUGCGUGUUAUUGAGUUUGUAUGAUGGACCCUUUGGAUGUUCCUAUGGCUAAUGUUACCUUGUCUUAUUCAGAUUAGUCUGAAGAGAUUCUGGAGACUCAACAAGAGGAAGGUGAAAUCCCAAUUUCUCCUUAUGCCUCAUUAUCAUCGAGCCUUGAUAAUUUCUUUGUGCCUCGCCCAUUUGUGACUAGUGUGGUCUCGUUGCUAAGUAAGGAUGAGAUUGAAGAGAUAACUAUGGUUUAUAGGAUACCAACCACUUUUAAAGCCUACUCGUGUGGUAGGGACCAAGCGACUAAUGGGUUGGUCUCAAAGAAAAAUUGUUUCAUAGUAUAUGUAGAGCAAUUGCGGUCUGGACUACGCUUCCCACUAGGCCCAUUUAUAGUGGUUGUCCUGAAGCUCUUUCGGGUUAGCAUUGCUUAGAUUCACCUAAACACUUGGUGAGUUCUAGUGUCUUUUCUCUCUUUGUAUUGCAUACAUAACAUAGAGCCUUAAGCCUGAGUUUUUACUUUGAGGUAUGCAUUGUCUCAUAGUGAAGCUGAAACCUUUUACUAUUUCCUCUCAAAGAAGGGGAGUAGCUUGCUUGUUUGACAGCUUUUCUGGGUCGAUAAAAAAAUUGAAAGUUGAUAUUUUUCAUGCUAAGGCAUCUUUCCGGUGGUAGUUGGGAUGGUUUUACUGAGAGUUGAUCCUUUCAAACUUAAUAGUUCAAAAGAAUGCUUCAAAUAAUUGGCUUAAAAGAAUCCUUUCAAACUUAAUAGUUCAAAAGAAUCCUUUCAAACUAUUGGCUUACACAAAGCUCUUGGCUGUUGUUUCAUUGAGGAGGAAGCAACCUUACUAACCAUUGUGCCAAAAAAUGGCCUUUUGAUAAAUUUUAUUGGUUUAUCGUCGAAGGAGACUGAUAAUGUUAUACCUCAACAUCUUUAUUUUUUUGACUUCUUAUCUAACUUAAUAAUUUCUUUUUUUAUUUGUAGAGAUGAUUGGAGAUAAUACAUCAUGGAUUAGGAAGGUGGUUGAAAAGAAGAGGAAAGGGGUUGGUGGAUUAGGAAGGUGGUUGAAAAGAGGAGGAAAGGGGUUGGUCAGGUUAACUACCAAAAGAGGUCGAGGUCCAUUGGAGGGACUUUAAACUCUUUCGUCAUUGCUCCUCAAGAUUCAUAAGAGCAUGCUUCUAUCGAGCUUGCUUCCUUUUCUAUUGAGAUGGGCCUCCUUCCACUGCCUUCUUCCCUUACUUUUGAUGGCCUAUUGAGGGUCACAACACGAUAGCAAGGAACUGCUACUUGGUUGAGCGCAUAACAAAGAAGAUUACUUUGCUUGAUGACUUCUUCUACCAUGGGAUGUCCUUGGGUGUAGAGGCCAUGACUGCAUUUAAGGUGGAAUGAGAGGUUUCCAAAAUUGUGGGGAUCGUUCAAUGAAUUGUAGAUAUAGAACAUCCUUCUUACCACUAAACUAGAGAACCUUCGUAGCAUUAACAAAAAUCUCGAGAUUGAGAUGGAGCAAAUUGAUCUUCAUUCUAAGCGAUUUUAGUAUUGAAUUCAUCUUAUUUUAUUGUUUUAUCUAUUUAUUUGUUCUAUUUUCUCAAAUUUCCUUUUAUAAGGAACUUUGAGAUACUUAGGAGCUCUACAUUUUAGAGGAAAACUAAGCCGGAACUAGAGAAAAUAAUACCCAACAACCCUAUGUAAUUCAACCUAAAUUACAUGGGAUGACCCAUGUAAUUAUAGCAACCCCGUGUAACUAAGAAACAUAUAUUAAAUUCGCUCAGAAGGUUAUGUGGGUCUAUUGGGAUUUACAUGGGCUAGACCCAUGCGAUUAAGACUGACCCGUGUACUGUUGGAAGAAGAAUCAAGAGAAUUCAGUACGUUACACAAGUCUACUGAGAAUUACACAGGUUCAACCCAUGUGAGCUGGGCAACCCGUGUAAAUUUAUAUGGUUUCAACCCAUGUAACGUGCUAGAUCUAUGUAUUUUAAUCCAAUUUACACGGGGUCCUACGAUUUCAAUAGAUUAAACUUGACCUAGCCAAUUUUAUUGCAUCCUAAUUGAACCAAAGGGUUUCUUAAGUUAUCUAGGAUUGAAACAAGAGCCACAAGUGUUAUAAAAGCCAAGGAUUUCAAUCAGAAAAGUAUUGUAAACUUGGAUACCACUAAGGAGAAACUGAACAAAAGGAGAAGAAGCCAUUAGUUCGUGAAGUAGAUUUUGUAGUAAAAAUCUGAGAAGAUCAUGCUGUCAGUUUAAUUGUGGAUCUAUUUGGUUCUAUUUUUCUUAUGUCUUAUUUUCUUAAUUUUAUUGUUCUUACAAUUAUGAACAUGAAUGAGUAAAUUUCUUUAUUCUAGGAUUUGGGAAGUAACACUUGGACUGUAUAGAUAUUUAAUUAGUUUUAUUCAAUAAAUUUGGAAUUAAUUAUUUGAUUCAA